GGAAGGUCCGGGCGUUAUCCGGAUUUAUUGGGUUUAAAGGGAGCGUAGGCGGGCUGUCAAGUCAGCGGUAAAAUCGUGCGGCUCAACCUUAAAAUUGCAGUUGAAACUGGCAUUCUUGAGUGCGGCAGAGGCAGGCGGAAUUCGUGGUGUAGCGGUGAAAUGCUUAGAUAUCACGAAGAACUCCGAUUGCGAAGGCAGCUUGCUGGAGCGUAACUGACGUUGAUGCUCGAAAGUGUGGGUAUC
rnacentral:rRNA from 1 species